GCUUUAUAUUGUUAUUGAUUUUAUUUAUGUGGUGGUUAUUGAGUAAAAUUGGUAAGGGUAUUUUGUUGGGGUGACAGGAAGAUAAAAAAAACUCUUUUUAGAAUUUAAAACAUUGAUGUAUGAUUUAUUGAUCCGUUAUUAAUGAUUAUAAGACUAAGU
rnacentral:rRNA from 1 species